UCUACAUGUGCCACGUCCAGUGAGGUUGGU
rnacentral:piRNA from 1 species